GACGAACGCUGGCGGCGUGCUUAACACAUGCAAGUCGAGCGAUGAAGUUCCUUCGGGAAUGAAUUAGCGGCGGACGGGUGAGUAACACGUGGGUAACCUGCCUCAUAGAGGGGAAUAGCCUUCCGAAAGGAAGAUUAAUACCGCAUAAGAUUGUAGUAUCGCAUGAUACAGCAAUUAAAGGAGCAAUCCGCUAUGAGAUGGACCCGCGUCGCAUUAGCUAGUUGGUGAGGUAACGGCUCACCAAGGCGACGAUGCGUAGCCGACCUGAGAGGGUGAUCGGCCACAUUGGGACUGGGACGCGGCCCAGACUCGUACGGGAGGCAGCAGUGGGGAAGAUUGCACAGUGGGGGAAACCCUGAUGCAGCAACGCCGCGUGAGUGAUGACGGUCUUCGGAUUGUAAAACUCUGUCUUCAGGGACGAUAAUGACGGUACCUGAGGAGGAAGCCACGGCUAACUACGUGCCAGCAGCCGCGGUAAGAC
rnacentral:rRNA from 1 species